AUUGAACGCUGGCGGCAGGCUUAACACAUGCAAGUCGAGCGGGGGAAGGUAGCUUGCUACCGGACCUAGCGGCGGACGGGUGAGUAAUGCUUAGGAAUCUGCCUAUUAGUGGGGGACAACAUCUCGAAAGGGAUGCUAAUACCGCAUACGUCCUACGGGAGAAAGCAGGGGAUCUUCGGACCUUGCGCUAAUAGAUGAGCCUAAGUCGGAUUAGCUAGUUGGUGGGGUAAAGGCCUACCAAGGCGACGAUCUGUAGCGGGUCUGAGAGGAUGAGCCGCCACACGGGGACUGAGACACGGCCCAGACUCCUACGGGAGGCAGCAGUGGGGAAUAUUGGACAAUGGGGGGAACCCUGAUCCAGCCAUGCCGCGUGUGAAGAAGGCCUUAUGGUUGUAAAGCACUUUAAGCGAGGAGGAGGCUACUCUAGUUAAUACCUAGGGAUAGUGGACGUUACUCGCAGAAUAAGCACCGGCUAACUCUGUGCCAGCCGCCGCAGUAA
rnacentral:rRNA from 1 species